GAUGAGAUGGCUGAGUGGUUAAGGCUAUGGACUGCUGAUCAGGUGUAUUUUGGAUGCGUGGGUUUGAAUCCCAUUCUUGUGG
rnacentral:tRNA from 1 species